ensembl:rRNA 5S_rRNA 5S ribosomal RNA
GUUUACGGCCAUACCACCCUGAGAACGCCCGAUCUCGUCUGAUCUCGGAAGCUAAGCAGGGUCGGGCCUGGUUAGUACUUGGAUGGGAGACCGCCUGGGAAUACCAGGUGCUGUAAGCU